GAAUUGUGGUCUUUUCGGGCUUGAUAGAACAGAUCUUGAAGAUCAUUUUACUUUAGUUACCAGUAAAUGUGACGAUUUACUCCAUCAGUUAGAAACUAGCAGUACAGAUGAAACACUUGAACUGGCAGAUGACCUGGUGAGAAAAAUUGUCUCUGUUGGUGACAUGGCGCUCUUCUUAGCACAAUCUACCAGCGAUAAGAGAGACGAAGGUCGUGAACUACUGAAACAAGCUGAAGUAUACAUGAACAAGUUGAAUAACAGUUCUGUUAUCUUCUCAGCUC